CCUACGGGAGGCAGCAGUGAGGAAUAUUGGUCAAUGGGUGAAAGCCUGAACCAGCCAUCCCGCGUGAAGGACGACUGCCCUAUGGGUUGUAAACUUCUUUUGUAUAGGGAUAAACCUACCUUCGUGAGGGUAGCUGAAGGUACUAUACGAAUAAGCACCGGCUAACUCCGUGCCAGCAGCCGCGGUAAU
rnacentral:rRNA from 1 species